UAAGUCCUUUUCCACAGAGCUGUCAUCCAGUCAGGUAUCACCUGUUUUGUAUUUGUGUUUUUGAUUAUUCCUCCUGAGGUUAUUCUUGCACUUCU